rnacentral:rRNA from 1 species
CCCCCCACUUCUGAAAAUUUGAC